GAAAAGGAAAAAAAAAAAUCCUAAACCUCUGACCCCACAGAUGAAACCUGAGUCCUCAAGUUUCAGCUCGCUCAUCGCCUGCCUGGCGGAUGGGGAGAUCUUCACCCAGCCAGAAACAAGGAGCUCAUUCUAAAGAAGUUGGAGAAGCAGAACAGCUCUGAUUUUAAAAUCUCUUUGAAAUGCAAUGAUUUUAUACCCAGCUGUGGUGAGUGGAGCUUCUCAGGGAGAAAAACAAAAUUCUGAAUUAAUUUCUGCCUUCUUAGGCUAAAUUUGAAUCCCUGUUCCGACCCUACGACAGGGACCUCACCUUUCAGUAUUUUAAAAGCUUCAAAAGAGUGAGAAUAAAC